CCUACGGGUGGCAGCAGUGAGGAAUUUUGGACAAUGGGCGCAAGCCUGAUCCAGCUAUUCCGCGUGUGGGAUGACGGCCCUCCGGUUGUAAACCCCUUUAGUCGGGGACGAAAAGGAGCUGUCGAAUACAUCCCUCUGCUGACGCUGCUCUAAAAGUAUGCACCGGCUAACUACGUGCCAGCAGCCGCGUUAAUACGUAGGGUGCGAGUGUUAAUCGGAAUUACUGGGCGUAAAGGGUGUGCGGGCGGCUGAGUAAGAGAGAUGGGAAAUACCCGGGGUUAACCUGGGAACCGCAGAUGUGACUGCGGGGCUAGAGUGAGCCAGAGGGAGGUGGAAUUCCACGUGUAGCAGUGAAAUGCGUAGAUAUGUGGAAGAACACCGAUGGCGAAGGCAGCCUCCCGGGACGCAACUGACGCUCAGACACGAAAGUGUGGGGAGCAAACAGGAUUAGAUACCCCAGUAGUC
rnacentral:rRNA from 1 species